UAUGAAGAACGUAGUGAAAUGCGAUACUUGGUGUGAAUUGCAGAAUCCCGUGAACCAUCGAGUCUUUGAACGCAAGUUGCGCCCGAAGCCAUCAGGUUGAGGGCACGUCUGCCUGGGCGUCACAUAUCGUUGCCCAAUGCCUAUUGCAGUGCAAUAGGAAUUUCUAGGGCGAAUGAUGGCUUCCCGUGAGCGUUGUUGCCUCGCGGUUGGUUGAAAAUCGAGUCCUUGGUAGGGUGUGCCAUGGUAGAUGGUGGUCGAGUUAGAACGAUACCGAUCAUGUGCAUGCUCCCCAAAAUAUGGCCUCUAUGACCCACACGCGUCUUUUGACGCUCAUGACGAGACCUCAGGUCAGGCGGGGCUACCCGCUGAAUUUAAGCAUAUCAAUAAGCGGAGGA
rnacentral:misc_RNA from 1 species